rnacentral:rRNA from 1 species
AAUGAAUUGACGGGACCGCACAAGCGGUGGAUUAUGUGGAUUAAUUCGAUGCAACGCGAAAACCUUACCUACCCUUGACAUGCUAGGAAGUCCGCAGAGAUGUGGACGUGCCCGAAAGGGAACCUAGACACAGGUGCUGCAUGGCUGUCGUCAGCUCGUGUCGUGAGAUGUUGGGUUAAGUCCCGCAACGAGCGCAACCCUUGCCAUUAGUUGCGACAUUUAGUUGAGCACUCUAAUGGGACCGCCGGUGACAAACCGGAGGAAGGUGGGGAUGACGUCAAGUCCUCAUGGCCCUUAUGGGUAGGGCUUCACACGUAAUACAAUGGUCGGUACAGAGGGCUGCCAACCCGCGAGGGGGAGCUAAUCCCAGAAAGCCGAUCGUAGUCCGGAUUGUAGUCUGCAACUCGACUGCAUGAAGCCGGAAUCGCUAGUAAUCGCGGAUCAGCAUGUCGCGGUGAAUACGUUCCCGGGUCUU